CCAAGUCUCGGGGCCCAAAGGCAGGCAUUGGUAAUUCAGAUAAAAGCAAGGGUUCUCAAGCAUCUCAUUCACUGUCAAGCUGGGCAGCAUGCUGAGGGCACUGAUGGCAGUGAGGGUGGCAGUGGCCAGAGUCCCAGCACGUGCCGCAACGUUCCAGGUGUUGCCUUUUCCAUGAGCAUUCCCCCAGCCAGUCUCAAGCCAUUCUCUGGGAGGAGGCGGAGCUUCUUCCCAUUUCCCUUGGAAACUUCUGUUCCAGCCACUUCUUCUCUACUUCCAGCAGCCAUCUCUGGUUUCCCUGCUCAUGAUGAUCUGGGGAAAAACACACCAACUCUCUGGUCCCUAUUUCUUGUCAAUCAGGAGAAAUGAGAGCAAUGACACCUGCCCACCUAGUAGAAGAGUGCCACCUCUCACCUGACAGAUCACAACCUCAGAUGACCAUUGCAGAGACAGGCACUCAAUGUGACAUCUUGGCAACUGCUUCUGUCAACAGAUCAGCACCUGGAGCACUACUAAGGUCACUUGGAAGUAGAUGGAGAUCAGAUUCACACCCCUCCCAAGCUCUUGACCUUGGAUGACAAUUCAGACCUGGUUUGGGGUCAAGACUUAACAUUUCCUGCUUGAGAUCCUGAGGCCAGCAGUGUCAUUUUAACAUUAAGGGCAUAAAGAUCCCUUGUCUUUAUCUAGGAAGACAGAGGGCUGUGUCACCUCCCCUGCCCACCUUGCCUGUCCCUGUCACUGCCUUGCUCAGGCUCUUAGCGCACACCCUGGUGAAAGUUCCUAAUCUUCAUCUUUACUCUGGGUUAGGUUUGGUGGUGGGGAUCCAGCCCUGGGCUUUGCACAUGCUAAGCCAGCUCCACCACUGAGCCCCGCCCUCCCUCAAUGUCAGCCAACUCAAGCCUGUUAAACCCCUCUUACUUUACCUAGGUCCUUAUCAUCUAGCUAAAUAGAACAUUAUUGUUUUAUUUUAA